rnacentral:rRNA from 1 species
UACAGAGGUGGCAAGCGUUGUUCGGAAUUACUGGGCGUAAAGGGCGCGUAGGCGGCCUACUAAGUCAGACGUGAAAUCCCCCGGCUUAACCUGGGAACUGCGUCUGAUACUGGAAGGCUUGAGGAUGGGAGAGGGAUGUAGAAUUCCAGGUGUAGCGGUGAAAUGCGUAGAUAUCUGGAGGAAUACCGGUGGCGAAGGCGGCAUCCUGGACCAGUACUGACGCUGAGGCGCGAAAGCUAGGGGAGCAAACGGG